rnacentral:lncRNA from 1 species
CAGUUUACUUUCUAACAUCCUGAAAGCUUCAUCAUGACUGUUCAGCACACCUCACCCAGGGCUGAGAUUAAAAGUUAAAAAAGAGAAAGAAUGAACACAACAGGAGAGAAAACAGAAGAGCUUUUGGCAGCAGCCUGGUGACACUCUGGGGUAGCAGAAAUGUAUAAACUUGAAUUUCCAUUGUCUUGACGAUGUCUUUGGGAUAACAAAGACCAGCAAACAACUUCUGAUCUGAAAAGAAGCAGCAUCAGCAAUGGGACUCUUGUUCAACGCUCGUGAUGACGAUGGAGCUUGUCAAGCUCUCCUGACUUGCAUUGACAUCCAUGGCCUGUCACAAGGUCCCCUCAAUCAGGACAGUGUAAAAGCACAUUAGAAUCAUAGAAUACCAGGUUGCAAGGGACCUCAAGGAUCAUCUGGUCCAACCUUUCUUGGCAAAAGCACGGUAUAGACAAGAUGGACCAGCAGCAUCCUGUCCAGCUGAAUGGGGAAUCCAUCUCUUCCUGGAAAGAUUAUUCUAAUGGCUGAUUCUUCUCUUUGUGAAAAAUUUUCCUCUUGUAUCCAAUGGAAUCUCUCCCAGAGUAACUUGUACCAUUACCCCUCAUCUUUUCUGUGUGACUCCUUGUAAAAAGGCAGUCUCCAUCUCCUUUAUAGCCACUUGGUGAUAAGGUCUCCCCUAACCCUUCUUAUCUCAAGGCUGAACAAAUCCCAUUCUCUCAGCUUUUCCUCAUACAGCAAGCUUCCCAGUCCUUUGAUCACUUUGGUGGCUCUUCUCUGGACUCUCUCCAGUCUGUCCACAUCUUUUUUGUACAGGACAAACCUCAACACGCUAUUCCAGGUGUGGCCUGACAAGCGCUGAGCAUUUGGUCCAGGAACUGGCCUUCCUGUAGCAAAGAGCAUCAGGAUGGGUAUGGUCUUCCCUCCCAGGACGUCUUCCAGCUCUAUGGAUGCUAUCAGCUGACACGUCUGGCUGGUAUCCUCUGCCAAAAAUACACACGCUCUCAACAUUUCUCAGGAGUUGGGUUUUUUUCCCCCUCUGUGACAUACUCAUGUCAAAUUUCUUCCUGGCUCUGUGAGACACAAGACUGUCCACACCUACCAGAUAAUGAGUUUAACAUUUCAAGGACAGAAGCUCUCAUUCUAAGCAAGACACAGGGUGGAUUUGCAGGCCUGAUUUGGGGUCAAGCCAGAGUUGGAAGCCGUUCUGCUCCCUGGAUCCUCCUCAGGGGUGUCCUGUCCUGGCCCUCCAUUGGUACAGUUAUCAGGCCAGCAUCAUUCCAGCAACCAGCACAGGGGAAAAACAUGCACACACGCCGCCCUCUCUGCCCGUGGCAGCCAGAGCACCUUUCAGAUAUCCCACCUCACCUGCUGACACAAUCCAUCAGCACUCACUGA